UACGGAGGAUGCGAGCGUUAUCCGGAUUUAUUGGGUUUAAAGGGAGCGCAGACGGGGCGUUAAGUCAGCUGUGAAAGUUUGGGGCUCAACCUUAAAAUUGCAGUUGAUACUGUCGUUCUUGAGUGCGGUUGAGGUAGGCGGAAUUCGUGGUGUAGCGGUGAAAUGCUUAGAUAUCACGAAGAACUCCGAUUGCGAAGGCAGCCUACUAAGCCGUAACUGACGUUCAUGCUCGAAAGUGUGGGUAUCAAACAGG
rnacentral:rRNA from 1 species